CACGUAGGGCGCAAGCGUUGUCCGGAAUUAUUGGGCGUAAAGAGCUCGUAGGCGGUCUGUUGCGUCCGCUGUGAAAACCCGGGGCUUAACCCCUGGCUUGCAGUGGAUACGGACAGACUAGAGGUAGGUAGGGGAGAAUGGAAUUCCCGGUGUAGCGGUGAAAUGCGCAGAUAUCAGGAGGAACACCGGUGGCGAAGGCGGGACUCUGGGCCGAUACUGACGCUGAGGAGCGAAAGCGUGGGGAGCAAACAGG
rnacentral:rRNA from 1 species